CCCCUGGAAACCCUAGCCCCUCUUCCUUCUCCCUCGUGCCGCCGCCACCUACCUCCCUCCACCCUUUCUUUCUUCUCUUCUCUGUGAGGAAACGAAAUAGGAGAAACCCUCACUGCCACCACCGUCCUCACCAUGGCGCCGCCACUCCAGGCUGUCCCUCGCCGAGCCGGGACUACCGGUAGAUGCGCCUCAUCGUCCUCUUCCUCGUGGUGCAAGGAAUCGAUCCGGAGCCCUCUAAUCAAGAGCACGGUCGCCGAUUCUUCGCGCCGGUCGGCGUGCUUCUUCUUCAAUUCCGGCCACCCCCGUCCUCCUCUGUCCAUUCUGAGUGCAUGUUGAGUUUCAUGCUUCUCGUCGCCGGCGAGGAUGCGGUGCAUCCGCGACCAUCUCACCACCUGCAGCUGAACCACCACGCCGUGCCGCAUCCCCGACGUCAUCUCGUUCGUCCUGGUUCGCUCCGAGUCACCAGCUCCAUGAUCGACCAGAUCCUCACCGCCAUGAUUCUUUUCUGUCCAAGGUCUCCGUCUCGUUUUGCUUCAAAAGGUUGCGUGACAUGAACCUUACACGAUCAGACAUGCAGCAUACUGAUCCGGCGCCACCACUGGGCCUUGGCCCAGCUUCCUCGCCCGGCCCCAAUCCUCUAUCCAACACCAUCAACAAUCCAGAUCGGGCCUAGGCAGUGCAGCAUUUGCUUCUUCCCGGAUAGGAUCGCGAAGUGGUGUUGUGAGA